rnacentral:RNase_P_RNA from 1 species
AAGCGAUCAUAGACGACCGCCCCGAUGUAUUCGUCAUGGGGGAGGAAAGUCCGAGCUCCAAAGGAUAGCGCACCCGGAUAAUGCCGGGAGCGUCGUGGCUUCGGCCAUGGCGUAUGAAAAGAGCCACAGAGACGAGCCCUUUCAGUAGGGAGUGAAACGGGGCAUCUCUGCGCGGAGCAAGGCCAAAUAGGAGGUGAACUUCUUUCAGGGUGUCAAAGCCUUGAUGGAAGGUGAGGCGAUCCGUCUCGCUAGUAUCCUCGGGUAGGCCGCAAGAGUCCUGAAGGCAACUUCGGGAGUGAGUCAGAUGGUCGUCCGCCGCUCGCGGUGAACAGAACUCGGCUUAUGUGGUUUGCUUUCUG